rnacentral:rRNA from 1 species
AGGGAAACCGAGUCUUAACUGGGCGUUAAGUUGCAGGGUAUAGACCCGAAACCCGGUGAUCUAGCCAUGGGCAGGUUGAAGGUUGGGUAACACUAACUGGAGGACCGAACCGACUAAUGUUGAAAAAUUAGCGGAUGACUUGUGGCUGGGGGUGAAAGGCCAAUCAAACCGGGAGAUAGCUGGUUCUCCCCGAAAGCUAUUUAGGUAGCGCCUCGUGAACUCAUCUUCGGGGGUAGAGCACUGUUUCGGCUAGGGGGUCAUCCCGACUUACCAACCCGAUGCAAACUGCGAAUACCGAAGAAUGUUAUCACGGGAGACACACGGCGGGUGCUAACGUCCGUCGUGAAGAGGGAAACAACCCAGACCGCCAGCUAAGGUCCCAAAGUCACAGUUAAGUGGGAAACGAUGUGGGAAGGCUCAGACAGCCAGGAUGUUGGCUUAGAAGCAGCCAUCAUUUAAAGAAAGCGUAAUAGCUCACUGGUCGAGUCGGCCUGCGCGGAAGAUGUAACGGGGCUAAACUGUGCACCGAAGCUGCGGCAGCGACGCUUAUGCGUUGUUGGGUAGGGGAGCGUUCUGUAAGCCUGCGAAGGUGUCCUGUGAGGGAUGCUGGAGGUAUCAGAAGUGCGAAUGCUGACAUAAGUAACGAUAAUGCGGGUGAAAAGCCCGCUCGCCGGAAGACCAAGGGUUCCUGUCCAACGUUAAUCGGGGCAGGGUGAGUCGACCCCUAAGGCGAGGCCGAAAGGCGUAGUCGAUGGGAAACGGGUUAAUAUUCCCGUACUUGGUGUUACUGCGAAGGGGGGACGGAGAAGGCUAUGUUGGCCGGGCGACGGUUGUCCCGGUUUAAGCGUGUAGGCUGGUUUUCCAGGCAAAUCCGGAAAAUCAAGGCUGAGGCGUGAUGACGAGGCACUACGGUGCUGAAGCAACAA